AUGCGUAGCGUCCCCCACAACCAAACAGCACCACCACCCGGAAGCCGUGUAGAUGCCGAAGCGCCCGGCGAGCGGCCGCCAUGGCCGUGACCGGCCACAGUUCAGUCGCAGGUGUAAACGCCGAUUUCGCGGCCUUAGCCACGAAGGGAGUCGCCGAACAAAGGAUAGUCCCCACCCUGUCCGGCUCGGUGAUGACGGCAGUUAGAUCGGCGGAUGGGGAAUUGCGGCAGCGGUGAGCCGGUGACUGUGGGGAAUUACGGCAGCGGCAGCAGCGCCGGCAGGGGAGGCUGCUACUGUUGUUCAUACACGAGUAGCCCCGGCACGUUGGGCAGAAGCUUAUCGAGGUCGGAGAGAGGUGCCCGCUUCAUCUCCAGAGGAGACAAGUUCACUUCUUUACAGCUAACUGAUUGUCUAGAACAGUCCAACACUUGACUGAACUGUUCAACAAAAGGAUUGACCGUAGCUAAUGUAAUAAUAGUGCACUGAAAGUAUUGAAUAUUGUCCUGUCAUGUUACCAAGUAAUCAAUAUCAUUAAAGAUUUGCAUAGAGUAGUGUUGAAUGUUGAUGGUGCCAGUUGUGGGGUUUAUCAGCACGGUGAAUACUACGAGCAUGGACACACACGUACCAGGAAUGGGCGAUAUGCAUCCUGCAGCGCAACAAUGGGGUGUAUGAGUGUAUCGAUGGUGUGCAGCUGGAGCGUGGCCAAUGCUACUACUACAUCCGCAUUUUAAUAGACGACGCUGACGAUUUUUGAAAUAAUGUUUGAUCGUUUUGUUCGUCUUAUUUCUUUAAAAAAUUAUCAACACGUUAUUUAUUAAAAAACGAUCAUUGUUCAA